GUCUCUAUAGUUUAAUGGUAGAACAAUUGCCUUCUAAGCAAUUUAUCGUGGUUCGAAUCCAUGUGGAGACU